ACACUAUACGAGCAGCUUCUCCUCGAAGCUCUCCUUGAUCGAGGAGGUUUAAGGCUUCGAGAAGCAGAACGAUAAUGGUGUCUUCUAUAUCUAGAGUCAUAUGGUGAGUAUGACCUAUCACGUGAAAUUCUAUAGUACCGAUCAUCAGGUGAGUAAGAACGUUCCCGCCUUCUAUAGUGUCGAUCCUCAGGAGAGUAACGGUCCCGCCUUCUAUAGUAUCGGUCCUCAGGAGAGUAAGAACGAUCCCGUCUGCAGUGGUAACGAUCAUCAGGAGAGUAAAACCUAUCACGCCUUCUAUAGUAUCUAUCAUCGGGAGAGUAAGAACAGUCCCGUCUACGAUAAUAACGAUCAUAAGGUGAGUAGGACCGAUCACGCCUUCGAUAGUAUCGAUCUUCAGGUGAGUAGGAACAGUAACGAUAAUUCUUUCUAUAAUAGCGGUCAUCAGGUGAUCUACUAAACCGGGAAUGAGCACGUGAAUAAGACCUAUACUGAGGGGAGUAAGACCUGCUCCUACUCCUACUCCUAUCAGAUGAAUAACAAGAUGAC
rnacentral:lncRNA from 1 species